rnacentral:rRNA from 1 species
UACGUAGGGUGCAAGCGUUGUCCGGAAUUAUUGGGCGUAAAGAGCUCGUAGGCGGUUUGUCGCGUCUGCUGUGAAAACUCGGGGCUUAACUCCGGGCCUGCAGUGGGUACGGGCAGACUAGAGUGCGGUAGGGGAGACUGGAAUUCCUGGUGUAGCGGUGAAAUGCGCAGAUAUCAGGAGGAACACCGGUGGCGAAGGCGGGUCUCUGGGCAAUAACUGACGCUGAGGAGCGAAAGCGUGGGGAGCGAACGGG